GUGGGGAAUCUUGCGCAAUGGGCGAAAGCCUGACGCAGCCAUGCCGCGUGAAUGAUGAAGGUCUUAGGAUUGUAAAAUUCUUUCACCGGGGACGAUAAUGACGGUACCCGGAGAAGAAGCCCCGGCUAACUUCGUGCCAGCAGCCGCGGUAAUACGAAGGGGGCUAGCGUUGCUCGGAAUUACUGGGCGUAAAGGGCGCGUAGGCGGACAGUUUAGUCAGAGGUGAAAGCUCAGGGCUCAACCUUGGAAUUGCCUUUGAUACUGGCUGUCUUGAGUACGGGAGAGGUGAGUGGAACUCCGAGUGUAGAGGUGAAAUUCGUAGAUAUUCGGAAGAACACCAGUGGCGAAGGCGACUCACUGGCCCGUUACUGACGCUGAGGCGCGAAAGCGUGGGGAGCAAACAGGAUUAGAUACCCGAGUAGUCC
rnacentral:rRNA from 1 species